rnacentral:lncRNA from 10 species
AUCCCACAGUCCAUACUCAACCUCCAUGUGAAGACAGAGAAUAUCCUUUUGAGUUGGAAGGGAUGUUGACUGACUUCAUCCAUUUAUUUUGUUCUCAUUCCGAGUCUGGAUUUGCCUGCGUCCCUUGUAGCUUAAGAGCCCUUUUAAUUAAGACAUGACUCACAGAUCAUCUUCAUGUCAACAGGCAACAAUAUUGUAUACCUUCGAAUUUUUCAAUAACGAGCCUUGAACAGAACAAACUCUUUGUUUCAGUGAAAAAUGCUAAUUGAAAGAUUUUUUUUUCUCAAAAGGACAUUGAACGUAAACCAAUGUACUAAGCAAAAUGUAGAUGAUGCCUCUCCUUUUAUCUGCUGUUCCUUCAAACAGAAAACAAAGUACCACCCCAACCAACCAACUCUUCUGGCAGGAAAAAGAAAGAGUCCUCAAAUUACGUUCUUCAACAAAGGGUCAGGAAGGAAAAGUGAAUGUCACAAACACCAUUCAAAGCACCGCAGAAAGUAGUCAGUUUGGUUUCUUUCAGAGGCUGGAAGAAAACGUCCUUCUCCCCCGUCUCCCUUUGUUUUUAAGUUACUAAAUUCCUUUACGUUUGUUUUCUUAGGAAAGUGACAUUAUAGGUCAUUAAGCAACUAUUAAAAACACAAGUGAGAAAACCCAAAGCGUGGGUCUUUUUCCUCUGAUAUUCUUUUCCCUGGUUUUCAGAAAACAGUUUUAAGAGUUGGAAUAUUUUUGUUAAUGUCUUUGUGGGCAUUUCCGUCAUCUUUCCAUUUGUAACAGCCCCUAAAUAAGGCAGCUAGGGGAAACCUGCCUUGUCUUAGCACACCUGCUAUGCCAAAACAGGAACAUGCAUUCCCCCACAAUGGGAUGGGUGAUUUGCCAAACAGACCAGAGCUCCCAAAUUACCUGCCUUUUUGCAGUGCUACACCCAAAAAUCAACCCGUUGACUGAUGAAAUCAACCCGUGUGGAACUUGAUUUUCGACGUCCUCUCUUCCUCCCACAGUUGGACAAGAAAGGGGAAGGAAAGAGAAAAGGGAGAAAAGCCCUCUUCCCACCGGGUCUGCCAGUGAAACCUGGAUGCACAAACAUGCGUACUCCUGGGCAGGGCCGGAAGAGCACACAGAUGCCAGGAUGGAGCUCAAGAACAGUUAAUCCCACAAGGAACCCACUGUCGCUUCUUUAUUAUCUUAAUCUGCAUAUUUGGAAAGUAAAAGAACAAACUGAUCAUUUACUGUAAAGGGCAACCACCCGUUUCCCUUAAUCACCCCCUCCAUGAGAAGGCAGAGGGCGUGAAGUCCUAAAAAUAGGCUGCCGAGGCAGUUUCCCAAGCUUUCCUUAAAAAACAGUUAUUCCUUGAAUAUUAAAAGUCUUCUUUUCCUGUGAUCUGACACUUCCCGGGUAUACAUUUUACAGGAACUGGACUUUAACAAAGCUUCUUUGAAACAUUAAAGAUAAAGAUAUCAAAGCCAUCCUUACAAAUUUGUGUUAAGAAAUACACUUGCUCUGCCGUAAGCUUUCAUCACUGAGUUACCCAAAAAAAGUUAACAUAUUCAGAAAAAUCCUUAGGAUUCCCGACACAAAUGCAACCCCAUAUAAUGUGUCCCUAAUGGGUGCUUGUUUCUGCUUUGCAACUUUCAUCUGAAGUUAAAUACACAUUGAUUUAGCAUUCUUUUACAACAUGGGGAUGGUUUUCUCAUGGCACAAUAAACAUGUUUCUUAAGAUGUCUAUUUGUGAAUAAUUAAGACUAAAAUGCUUUUCUGAUUCCUUCCUAGUUUUUUCUAGUUUAGACCUUUAUAUCACACUUGUAAAAAUUCCAUCUCAUCAAAUGAAUGGCAUUAAUAAAUCCUAAGCAGGCAGGUUUUCCAAAAUGGCGACUUUCAUGAUAUGGAAGGCAUUUGAUCUUAAAAACAUGAGAAAGAAAUUUAGUUGAGUUUUCUCUUUGAAAAGUUUCUUGGGCAUGAGCUUGAUCUUUCUAUAUUAAAAGAAAAAAAUCUAGUUUAUUUCAAUAGGGGAUUGGUUUUCAUUAACUUGCAAGCUAAACAUCAUUGGUAUGUUUCUAUUGGUGUACUGACUUGGUGAAUAAAACAACAAAUUCUUGAGAGAGUCACUUAUAAAUCUCUUUAAAUUAAAAUCAGUCUAAUUUUUAUUAUAAGACUAACAUCAUGAUAGGCUUAGUAUUUUUAAGGCAAUGCCCAGAACUAAAAAGUUUAAUUCCCUGACAAGAGCUUUUAAUAAAGACAAAUCAUAACUAAAAUUAGAUGCUGCAACCUUUUCUUCUCAAAAAAAAAAAAAAAUCUGCAAACACUGUGUUAAGACAUCAUUCCUCCUUAAUUUUGUUUCGAUGGAGUGAUAUGACUAGACAUAUAGCUUUUCUAUAGUUAAAUUAUAAAGAAUAAUUUUCUCUAAUCUAAUCAGUAAUUUCUAAAAAUGGGAAAUGGUAACAGCAUAAUUUUUUAUUUCUUUUGUAUUAUAAUUUAGGCUGACACAUUAAAGCUUUGCUUUUCAGGGGAACAAUUAAGAAAUUGUUGAUAGAAAUUAAACAUUACUGACAAUUGAAAAUGCAUUUUUUUCCUCAUUCGCAGCAUCUAGAUAUACCGCUCCUACCUCCCAUCAAAGAUAAUCUAAGCUCAGAUAGUAUUAAAGUAAAAAUGAACGAAAAAGCUUAGUUCUUUUGUGCUAAACAAAAAGGUGAUUUAUAUAAGUAAUAAGCAAAUUCCAGAGUAUGGAGAUAUAUGUGUAUUUUUAAAUCCUCUAAAAAUGCCUUAAGUUGUAAUCUUCAGGCUAAAUGAUUAAACUCUCUCUGGGUCCUUUGGCUGUAGAACUAUAUCCUUCAUGUUAGCUGUGGGCUAUUUUCGGCUGAAUGCAAACUGCUUUUUUGUUAUUAAAGACAGUUCAUGUUUUACACCACCUUUGGUGUAUGGUAUACAGACCAACACACAUAAUUUAGGUCAGUAUUAAAAUAGAAUUAAUUUUUUUUAAAAAACCUUCAAUAAUAAUUACAAUAAUUACAUUUCCUUCCCACACAUUGCAACAAAUAGUUACAUAGCCUACUUCUUAAAUACUGGUGUGAAAACACUAAGUCGAAAUUCAUGACACAAAUCAAAAUGUGUUGCACAAACUUCUUUUUGGUUGUCGUGAAAGGGGUGUCUCAAAUUGAGUGUAGAAGGGCAUUCCAAUAACCAUAGUACUUUUUUUGGCUGAACUGUAAAUACAUAAUUCAUAUAUUAAUAUGAUAAAAUAUAUAAGAUCACCCAUAUAGUAAAAAUUAAAUCAGUGAAAAGGACUAAAUACAGUUACAAAUAAGCAGCCCAGAAGUUCUAAGGGAAAAUGCCAGAAGUCAAAAUGCUUUCUGAUUCAUCUUAAGCAGAACAGGAGUUUUAACACAAGCCUCUCUUAACAGCUACCCAGGCAGGAUUUGAGGAGAAUAAUUCCCUAAUGCCACUUAAAAAAGAAAAGUCAACCGAAAGCAUCAAAUGGAUUUUGAAUCUAAAUAUUCUUAAAAAAAAAAAAAAAAAACUUUUUCUGAAUUGGCAGCUCAGAGAAUCAAACUGAUAACAUUACAAUAAGGUAGGCAUAGUCAACAUUCUUCGGGUGGUUUGGGGCUGUUUUUUUAAGAGUGUGCUAGGAAUUCCAGUUCUUGAAGAGUCACGGCCUGCAUUCAGCUGUCUUCAGUUCUGUCCCCGGCCUGGCCAUCUGCCAAAGAAUGACACACCUUGAAGGACAAAGUAAGAACAGCUUUCCACACACUUCUCAGACCCAAGCUCCUGGCUUCAGAGCGAAAACUCUUAGGAGCCUUCAACCUGAGCACUUUUUAGCAGGUCAGAAACAGAAAGGCAGGAAGGAGAAGGCAACAUAAAGCUGUCUUGAGCCUCCCCUCUCCGUAGGUCUAAUGUUGCUUGGUCCACAGAACAAUCACAACAAUAAAAUGCAGUGUGUCCUGGGGUCCCCUCUGAAAGAAUAAAACUGGAAGCCUGUCUGUCAUGGUGAAUACCAAACCAGAAGCUCGCACCACGGGAUUCGAUGCCUUGUGCCUGGCUUGUAUUCACAGGCAAGGCAGACAGAUGUGUGGCCUUUGACAAAGCCAAGAGAUGGGCAUUUCAAAAAUAAAAUCAUCUCCCAAUUACAGGGAACCCUUCCUCCCUGGGAUCCCAAAGCACUCUAUCAACCUAAAUUGGAAUCCUGUCUACUGAGCUGCCUUCAAUGCGGCCACUCCAGUAUAAAUUGGAUCAAAUGCUCUCAGAUUAAUUCCUGGAAACCUAUAUUCAUCUUUGUAUAUCUUUAUUACAAAACUAGCCACAAGACCGCUCUACAAUUUUCAUUAUCGGAACAGCUUUCGAAGCUGGAUUAUGCCAUGGUUUAUCCCUCCGUGACCCCAAACCAUCUUGUUAGCUCCAUUAUUGUAUAUUCAUACAACACACCUGAGCCCAAGAUAAUAAGAGAGUUAUAGUGAAUGAGGGGACAGGGUGCGUUUUAUUGCAUUUUAUGCACUGCUAUUCUGCAAUGAUAUUUAACCUGCCGCAGGCGCCCCCAGAAGUCCAUGCCUCACUCCCAUGCUUUCACUCGUGCUCUGACACAGAAGACCCUCACCACCCUCCCCAGUGUGAACCUCACCACCCUCCCCAAUGUGAAGGGAUGGCAAGUUAACCUGAGGAGGACCUGAACUUCUUGGUGAUGGUCAAAUGUCAUUUCUCCUGCGCUGUUCUGGGUUAGAGUAUGCAGGUUCUGCACCAACAGAAACCACAGCACAGAAAACCCCCAGCCCUUCACAGGAAAAGAGCAGGAGUUUUGCCUGCAAAAAAAAAGAGGACGGAACUAGCAUAUGCUUAGAAUAGAAGAUGGG